rnacentral:piRNA from 1 species
UCUUCUCUUGAGAUAGAACUUGGUUAGCUC